GAGCGCAACCCCUACUUGUUAGUUGCCAUCAUUCAGUUGGGGCACUCUAGCGAGACUGCCGGUAAUAAACCGGAGGAAGGUGGGGAUGACGUCAAAUCAUCAUGCCCCUUAUGACCUGGGCUACACACGUGCUACAAUGGUUGGUACAACGAGUUGCGAGUCGGUGACGGCGAGCUAAUCUCUUAAAGCCAAUCUCAGUUCGGAUUGUAGGCUGCAACUCGCCUACAUGAAGUCGGAAUCGCUAGUAAUCGCGGAUCAGCACGCCGCGGUGAAUACGUUCCCGGGCCUU
rnacentral:rRNA from 1 species